rfam:Lottia gigantea unplaced genomic scaffold LOTGIsca_31, whole genome shotgun sequence.
GUCUACGGCCAUACCACGUUGAAAGCACCAGUUCUCGUCCGAUCACUGAAGUUAAGCAACGUCGGGCUCGGUUAGUACUUGGAUGGGUGACCGCCUGGGAACAUCGAGUGCUGUAGACU